CCAAUAGCGUAUAUUAAAGUUGUUGCAGUUAAAAAGCUCGUAGUUGAAUUUCGGGGUUAGUAGGUUGGUCAUGCCUCUGGUAUGUACUGGUCUCACUGAUUCCUCCUUCCUUAUGAACCGUAAUGCCAUUAAUUUGGUGUUGCGGGGAAUUUGGACUGUUACUUUGAAAAAAUUAGAGUGUUUAAAGCAAGCUAACGCUUGAAUACAUUAGCAUGGAAUAAUGAAAUAGGACGUUCGAUCUUAUUUUGUUGGUCUCUAGGAUUGACGUAAUGAUUAAUAGGGAUAGUUGGGGGCAUUAGUAUUCAAUUGUCAGAGGUGAAAUUCUUGGAUUUAUUGAAGACUAACUACUGCGAAAGCAUUUGCCAAGGAUGUUUUCAUUAAUCAAGAACGAAAGUUAGGGGAUCGAAGACGAUCAGAUACCGUCGUAGUCUUAACCAUAAACUAUGCCGACUAGGGAUCGGAUGAUGUUAAUUUUUUAAUGACUCAUUCGGCGCCUUACG
rnacentral:rRNA from 1 species